AACGAACGCUGGCGGCAUGCCUAACACAUGCAAGUCGAACGAGACCUUCGGGUCUAGUGGCGCACGGGUGCGUAACGCGUGGGAACCUGCCCUUAGGUUCGGAAUAACUCCCCGAAAGGGGUGCUAAUACCGGAUAAUGUCUUCGGACCAAAGAUUUAUCGCCUUUGGAUGGGCCCGCGUGGGAUUAGCUAGUUGGUAGGGUAAAAGCCUACCAAGGCGACGAUCCAUAGCUGGUCAGAGAGGAAGAUCAGCCACACUGGGGCUGGGACACGGCCCAGACUCCUGCAGGAGGCGGCAGUGGGGAAUAUUGGACAAUGGGCGAAAGGCUGAACCAGCUAUGACGCGUGAGUGAUGAAGGCCUUGGGGAUGUAAAGCACUUUUACCCGGGAUGAUAAUGACAGUACCGAGAGAAUAAGCUCCGGCUAACUCCGUG
rnacentral:rRNA from 1 species